UUCCUGGCCACGUUCGAGCCACCGCCUCCUACUCCUCUUUCGAUUUCCGGUCGCUGUGCUGCUCGGCCGCGGCUCUACGCGCGCGUGCCCCGCCCUGCGCUUGGUCACUGGCACGGCGUACGUUCCCGAUAGUGAUGGUGCGCAGACGGGCGCACACGACGACCUUGAACUCGACCUCCGGCGGCGCGUGCUCGAUUCCGCGGGAGCGGCCAGUGCAGAAACAUCCGAGAUCGCCAUCGGCUGUGAGCUGAACACUCACAACAUUUUUCCUCGCUGUUAUAUUCUUUCAAUAGGUAGGUCGGCCCCGAUGGAGUGCUUGCUGAUGAAAGCACUGCUCUGGCCGUUGUGUCCAACAGCGGAGACAGUGUCGGGAACAAGAGCGGCAGCAGUGCCAGAGGCCACCAGCUCGCCGGCCUUGGCCUGGGAUUUACCUCUGGGAUCCUUGGCUUGAGGUCUGAACGACUUAUCCAAUUUAACAAGUCCGGUUAAUGGCAGUUGUAUGGGAGGCUCACCAUGUGACGGCAGAUCAGACUAAGGUUUCCCCCAAUGAUCUAGAGUUCGACGCUCAAGGUUCAUGGAGAUGGAAGCACCCCUCAAUACUCGAGCGUACUUGUGACUUCACCGACACCAGCACUGCCACCCUCUCCUCCAUGAGCCCCGGUAAGUUCAGUGCGCAAUGCAGCCUUGCCUCAUCCUUGCACUAGACUGAUUGAAUUAUUGAGAUCAAGUAAAAUAUUAUCCACUAUGCCCGCAAUGAGUUCUUAUGUUUUCAGAACAUUGGAUUGGAUCUGAGCAUAACUAUAUGUUGAGAAAUCGAUUACUCGGUGAUUACGCACAACAUUGAUGGUGAAAGUAUGUUCUGUAACUCCUUCAUUGAGUUCAAAUACUGGAGGGUUCUCAAACUGAGCAGGUAUACCAUCAUAAUUAAGUCAGAGCGGUGAUCUUUUCAAAUGUAGAUGGUGCCCAUUUCUCUGAACAUCCGCAUGAAGAUUUUAUUGAUUUUUAAAAAGUUAUUCUCGGUAGGUCUAAUUGAGUGUUCCACAUAAAGAAUUGUAGCAUGUACCCUUCUAUUCAUGGAUGUUCAUGCCCUAUCUCACUAAAAGGAUUCCUAUUGUGACUGAAGCUGGUUUGUUUUUUAUAUAUAAUUCCCUGAUGUAUAAAUAGAAAUAUCCACAUCGUAAUGGCAUGUCAUCAUCUAGAUAGAUUUACAGGAUGGUCUACUUUUUAUGACUGGUAAGUACUAUCAAUACAUUAUUUUGUACUUACUUGCAUUUUUUGUUUUAGCUGUCAGUUUUUCACUAAAUCUUUCAUAGGUGUAUAGUUCUUUCCAAGGAAAAUUCAAAGUUAAUAUAGUAGUGCCUCUUCGGUUCAAACUGCAGAAGCCCAACAUUACAUUGCUCCAUCAUUUUGUGUCUCCACUGACCCCUCUUCAGUCACAUGACAGUAUGUACAGUCUAGAUGCACAAUAGUUGAUACCUGGGAUACUGGAGACAUAUUUGUGAGAAUUUUAGGGUGUUGUCAAUGAUUUCAUUGCUUAAUGUCUAUUUAUGCUUUCUAUGAUUCAAUUUCACAUAGAGACCUAUUUGUAUUUUUUAUAUACAAUGUUGUCAGAACUGUUUGUAGCUCUCUGUUGAUACCGCUGAAUAACUUUUAUAAUCAAAGAGUUUUCUACCAUUUUACUUGAAAUGUUGUUGAUAAUUUUGUAUUUAGGAAAUAGAUUGUAUUUAUGGUGUACAUUGGUGUCCAACAAACAUAUAUUCAAUUUCUUUCAGAUCCUUUAACCAUCAAUAAGCGCUUAGAAACAGAGUUGUAUGCCAGCAGCACUAGCUUCUUACCAGCCCAUUUUCCACAGCUUUGUGUUAAGAUGAAUGCAUCAAGGAACUUUCAUCAUUGGCGUUAACUUUGUGUUAAGAUGAAUUACCUACUGUACACUACAAUGGCUGUUACGGAUAUCAGCCAAUCGUAUUAUUACUUUUCAACCAUACAUGUUGUUAAUUGUAUGUUUUGGAAAAGCAAUGGAAUAGAGACGCAAAUAAUGCCUUAGCACAUAUUUUCUAGAAGGUGGUCCAGUCUACAAAUUUUCAUCUAAUAUUCUAAUGAAAAUGAGGUUUGUGGUAUGAACUGGGCGAAAUUGAAUUAUGAUAAGUUUAUUGUUGCUUUUCUCUAAAUUUGUGUGGCUCUAUAUAUUGUCUUUGGACUAAGAUGAUAACAAGAUAUGUUUUGCAUAUCUAAACUGUUAAGCUAAUGUAGAACAUAACAAGAUAUGUUUUGCAUAUUGCUAGACCUUACUCUUUUAUAGUAGCAAUCCGAUGUAUGUUUUCUCAGUUGGAAACAAAUGAUCGUCACUACAAGGUUUACAUAGAUCUUCAGAGAGAAUAAAAAUGAGAAGAAGAUAGAAAUUGCAUGAUCACGAGAGGAGAUUCUGCAGUAUACCUAUUGUAAAAUUGAAGAUAGCUAUUAUUGGUUCUUUGUCUCUAUGUAUAUUUUUCUAGCAUCUUUCCAGUGGAAGUGCUUCCCAACUUGCAAUUUGUGUUUGGUUCUGUGUCUGAAGGAUUUUUUGUUCUCUGUUUUGAUGCAUCAUGUUGCAGUGCUACACUAUUCUUGGUGCAUACUGCCCUUUUUUUUUGGAAAUCCUACAACUAAAUUCCUGGCUCAUUCUCAUGUAGGUUGGAAGUUCUAUUUGGGCGCAGUUAAAUGGAUAUGAGUAGCAAAACAUGAGCUCAAUAAUUGGUAAUGUUAUCCUCGAAUCAAUCUUUAUGUUUAUGUUCGAAGUGGCUCAAUGGUUUUUCCUGUACUAUUUCUGUUGUUGUUUCAUAUUGUUUGAUGAAGUAAUCGUGGAUCCCAAAAUGUAUGUCUUGAACUUAACAUAAGCCUUUGCACUGUUGUUCAUAUAUAUGUGGAAACAAAGGAGUUGGCCUUAAGACCUUCACUUGCUGUUGAAGGUGUAACACUGUUGAUAUUGCCAUUAAGUGUUGGUCAAUAUAAAUGCAAUGUCAUGUUUUGUAUCUUCUUUGGAGGGGUCAUAUUCUGUUUCAUUUCCCAGUUGAUGCAAUGUAUUAUUUUGUGAAAGUAUAGGACAAUACUGCCAUGUACCUUCCCAGGGAGGUUGAGAUCAUCUGUGACCGUGCCACCAUCAGCCUAGCGAGGCAAAUCGAGUGCGUGCCCAUCUAGGUGAGUUAGUGCCUUUCGAAAUUGUGAGAUUUUUUGGCCCGAGCUGGAGGAAUCCCCGGGGAGGCCAUCCCAGCACUCGGCAAAAGAAGCACGUGGUGGCGGGUUGGGUCACCUCGGGAAGGCGAGCUCCCACAGUUUCAUUUUCUGUCAAUAACAUCACAGGAGGGUUGAGAAGUAUGAGAGGUUUGUAUCUCUAAAUCCUGUUUAAUCAGUAAAUUUCUUGCUUCAGUUCCAAGUCAUGAUGUUGAUAAACUAGAUAAUUUCCUAUCAGAAGCACCAAGAGCUUAAAGCAUUGUUGCAUUGUUGUAAUGUAUUCUCUGCAGUACAUGGAGCUAAAAGAGAAAAUUGGUAGAAGUCCUUUCUGCGUUGGGACUCCCCUGUUUGUGCAGCAUUGGCUAAGUCGCACAUAAAAUUCUCUAUUUUUCAUAUGUUCACAAAGCUUAUGCAUGAAUGCGAGCUACCAAUUAAGCACUCAAUGUUAGGGGGGCAUGCAAACUGGAAGCGGCACCAAAAAAUGAUUCUUAGGAAGUUUAUAAACCCUGGUGCCUUGGAAAUUCUCAGACCUCUUAUGGUUUUGCCUUUCAGAUAUCAUCCAUUCUGAAAAAAACAAUGGUUUGUUUCCAGGAAGCUAUGUUGAAGUCGUACGUGUGGCCUGCUUGGGUGUUUGUUAAUUAUUAGUUGGAUGAAAACAAUGAUUAGGUCAAUGUAUAUCAUCUUUUGUCUACCGAGGUCUUUGUACAUAACACUUGCUAACGCUUGCAUCUGUUCUUUUGAAAUCGUACUGUUUUAUCUUUUUUUUGUCAGCAAAGAAAGAUCCGCAAAGAAGACCAUGACUGAUCUGAUGUUAGAUCGAGUGACGAACAAGGCAAGCCAUCGACAUGCAAAGAAUCAGACAUUCAAUCCAUCAAUCCAUGGACAAAUACAUGGACAACAUCAUCCUUGCUUCUGGAGAUAGCACUAGAGGGAAAAAUAACUGCACUCCCCCUGGCAUAGUAGUCUACUAUGUGUUUUGUGUCAUAAUUCCCGUAUGUGUCCUGCUCUUGUUUAACAGUCGAUGGUUCACUGUGUUCUGUUUAUGUAAUAAGAUAUUUUAACAAUCUUAAUAUCAUGAUGU